rnacentral:rRNA from 1 species
UUCCGGUUGAUCCCGCCGGAAGUCACUGUUAUCAGGGUUCGACUUAGCUAUGCGAGACGCGAGCUAUUUGGGCUCGUCAUACUGCUCAGUAACACGUAGUUAACCUACUCUUAGCUGGAGGAUAAUCUUGGGAAACUGAGGCUAAUACUUCAUAGUUAUUGAAUGCUGGAAUGCUUCAACAGCCAAAGCUACGGCGACUAAGAAUGGGACUGCGGCCUAUCAUGGCUGUUGUGAGUGUAAAGUACUCACAAACCUGUAACGGGUACGGGCCAUGAAAGUGGGAGCCUGGAGAUGCCUUCUGAGACAUGAAGGCAGGUCCUACGGGACGCAGCAAGCGCGAAAACUUUCCAAUGCCUGAAAGGGUGAGAAGGGAACCUUGAGUGACUAUGCUUUGCAUAGCCUUUUAUGUUGCUCAAAUAGCAAUAUGAAUAAGUGGUGGGUAAGACGGGUGGCAGCCGCCGCGGUAAUACCCGCGCCACGAAUGGUGACCGUUUUUAUUUGGUCUAAAGCGUUCGUAGCCGGUUUGGCAAGUUCUUGGUGAAAUCUGCUAGCAAACUAACAGGCUUGCUGAGAAUACUACCAAACUUGGGAUCGGGAUAGGAUGAGGGUGUUCCACGUGUAGGGGUUAAAUCCUUUAAUCCGUGGAAAACCUCCGGUGGCGAAGGCGCUCAUCUGGAACGAGUCCGACGGUGAGGAACGAGAGCGUGGGGAGCAAACGGGAUUAGAUACCCCGGUAGUCCAUGCUGUAAACGAUGCCCGCUUGAUGUUGCAAACUCUACGGGAGUUUGCAGUGUCGGAGCGUAUGUGUUAAGCGGGCCACCUGGGGAGUACGGCCGCAAGGUUGAAACUUAAGGGAAUUGGCGGGAGAGCACACAAGGGGUGGAGGCUGCGGUUUAAUUGGAGUCACGCCGGG